UUCCGGUUGAUCCUGCCGGAGGCCAUUGCUAUCGGAGUCCGAUUUAGCCAUGCUAGUUGUGCGGGUUUAGACCCGCAGCGGAAAGCUCAGUAACACGUGGCCAAGCUACCCUGUGGACGGGAAUACUCUCGGGAAACUGAGGCUAAUCCCCGAUAACGCUUUGCUCCUGGAAGGGGCAAAGCCGGAAACGCUCCGGCGCCACAGGAUGCGGCUGCGGUCGAUUAGGUAGACGGUGGGGUAACGGCCCACCGUGCCCAUAAUCGGUACGGGUUGUGAGAGCAAGAGCCCGGAGACGGAAUCUGAGACAAGAUUCCGGGCCCUACGGGGCGCAGCAGGCGCGAAACCUUUACACUGUACGAAAGUGCGAUAAGGGGACUCCGAGUGUGAAGGCAUAGAGCCUUCACUUUUGUACACCGUAAGGUGGUGCACGAAUAAGGACUGGGCAAGACCGGUGCCAGCCGCCGCGGUAAUACCGGCAGUCCGAGUGAUGGCCGAUCUUAUUGGGCCUAAAGCGUCCGUAGCUGGCUGAACAAGUCCGUUGGGAAAUCUGUCCGCUUAACGGGCAGGCGUCCAGCGGAAACUGUUCAGCUUGGGACCGGAAGACCUGAGGGGUACGUCUGGGGUAGGAGUGAAAUCCUGUAAUCCUGGACGGACCGCCGGUGGCGAAAGCGCCUCAGGAGAACGGAUCCGACAGUGAGGGACGAAAGCUAGGGUCUCGAACCGGAUUAGAUACCCGGGUAGUCCUAGCUGUAAACGAUGUCCGCUAGGUGUGGCGCAGGCUACGAGCCUGCGCUGUGCCGUAGGGAAGCCGAGAAGCGGACCGCCUGGGAAGUACGUCUGCAAGGAUGAAACUUAAAGGAAUUGGCGGGGGAGCACUACAACCGGAGGAGCCUGCGGUUUAAUUGGAUUCAACGCCGGA
rnacentral:rRNA from 1 species